rnacentral:lncRNA from 1 species
GCAGAAUGGUUAGGAGUGAAACCUGGAAUAAGUCAAUCUUAAUUCCUGAAUUGGUAUAAUGUUAAUUGCUGUAAGGAAAUGUUAAGUGAGGAACCUUGCAAGUAUUGAAGCUUCUAAGCAUCAUGAGCUUAUAGAAUCAGCUCUAUGUUAUAUACACAUGUGUGUAUAUGUAUAACUUAGAACUAAUUGUUGGAAGACAAAGUAUGAAGUAAAAUUAUUCUAAACCUGAUUAAGAUUGAGGUUAUCGGUCCCUAAUAAGAGAUAAUAAUAGGUAUUGGCUGUUAAGUGUAGAGCUACUAAGAAAAUUGAUAGUAAGACUAUGUAUAUGUUGAUAUUAUAUACAUAUAAGUAAGUUGAGGUUAAAAUGCAAGUAGAGACAGAUUGGUCUCUUUCCCUAUUUUGAACUAUAUUGAUUACUCUAUAAGAAGUUUGAGAGCAAUGGAAUUGCUGAAUGGAAUUGGUACUAGUUACUGUGUAAGAAGUUAAGUUAUAUGUAAGAUAGUUAAUGUGUGAGCUAUGAAUUAAAUUGAAGUAGAACCUGUAGCAGAAUUGUAAUGUUAACUAUUAAGAUUGAUGUUACUACUUAAAGAGAGUUAAGUAUGAGUUAUUUUAACUUCUGAAAUCUUAAUCUGCCAUAGAGAAUUUAAUAAAAGAGUAUAUGUAUAGAGGUAUUAACACUAUACCUAUAUAUAUAUAUAUAUAUAUAUAUAUAUGCAAGUUAAAGUCAAAAUGCAAAGUUGUAGAAGAUGUGAAUGUAACUUCGGUUUAAUCUCUUUUAUUCCUUUCUAAAUGAAGGUCAGACGUGCUCGGAAGUUCGAAUUGAUAUUCCGACGGACCUACGAUGCGUGAAUUAAGAAAUGCUUCGUUCUAGCCCUAUUCGCAUCGAGUCGCAUAGACUAAUGUUUGUACGGUUCGUGACGUUGGUUCUAGUCUUUGACAUCACUACAGGUGGGUGGUGCUAUCCGAAGUCUUUGAAUCACCUUUUAUGUCUAUGGUUUUCCAUUGAGCAUAUUACUUGUAUUCAUGCAUCAUAGGGUAGUGAUAUUAUGCAAGUGAUAUUUGAAUAUGUGAAUGCUUAUCAAUGUUGAGAAAAUGUGAACUUAGAAUGUGGACAUGGAACCCUAUGAAUGUAUGGACUAUAGCAAUAGUAAACUUGGGGACAUUCAACUAGAGAUUUGGUUAGCAUCAAGAAAUGGAAUUGUGAAACUAGUAUAAAGAACUAGUUAGAGUAAAGUGUGACAGUGUUUGUCAGUUGAAUCCUCUAAAGGGGGAUCAGAUCAUACUCACAUUUGUUUGGUUCAAGUGAGGUCGCUCCUCCUUGAACGAUGAGCUCCGGAGUAGUCAUCUUUACUGGACCAGGAGGUGCGUCUCCCCCAGUUGACGGUCCCGUCGGGUGCAGGUUGCGUCUACCCGAUAUUUGGGAUAGCGUCAGUGAGUUAUUGUUAACCAAAGGGUUAACCAAAAGAAUUGGGUAAUUUCAGUGAGAGCAUGCAUGCAUAUUUACAGUUUUCAUAUACUACUUCUUUCAGCUUUGCACAGGCAUUGUAGUAGUUACAUGUUAUAGCUGGUUACUAUCUGUUUACUUUUCUUGCCUACAUAUGCCUGAAUAGACCUAGUGGGUGAGUCGGCGAGGUCGGCGGCCGAACCCACUGGGAACUUUUAGUAGUUCUCACACCACUAACCAUACAGGUUCCAGCGCGAGCGGUAUGGCCGAGGAUCGCGGCAAGAGCUCAGCAGCUUAGCUAGUGGACACCCGUGUGCUAGUAGCAUACCAUUUUGAGUUCAUGUGAGAUAUUUUGAUGUACAGAGACAUGUAAAUGAAUGUAUUAAAGAGCAUGUAUAUAACUAAAUGUUUCAGUUAUUCAGUUCAGUUUAAAAGUUUUAAAUGAUAGUGCAUUUCAUUUAUAGUUAGUUACUUUCACUUGUGCUUGUAGCUUGCCCUCGUGCAAACCAUGUAUAUUGAAAUGUCAUCCUGAAAAUUGUUUAUUUCUUUAUACAUGUACUCGUUGUUGUUGAGCCUUGGGCGGACAGAGGAGGUUCUGUCCGUUCGGCGUCUGUGUACGGGCCCGGAUCGACCAAAUUGGCGAUAGCGGGAUGUGACAGAUAAAGUGGUAUCAGAGCAACGCAAGUGAAAUUAUAGGAUGGACCUAGGGACCUUAGGAUGGAAAACCAUAAGGAUCUAGCUUCGUGAGAGACGAGAAUUUUGGUAAAUGGCGAAAGGUUAAACCGAUUGGGUUAUGUGUUGUAUACCUCUAUAAAGGAUCUUAGAGGUAGAUUUAAGGAAUAGUGUAUUCUCAACAGGGAGUGUUCAUGUUGGGUGCACACAAUAUGAAACCGAGUGAUGAGAAUAGGCUUCCUUGUAUGACUUUCGCCUGAUUUGAGUCGUGUUGACGAUAGUUGUUUCGUGUUUGACCUUGAAGGUCAAGAAUCGGUCACGUUGUUACGCGUUUAGUGGUCUCGUGUAGUUGAUCUCUAAUGAGAUCGAUAUGGUUCGGGAUAAGUGGAAUCCUUGAAUUGACCGAACUUGAUGGAAACUUGAAACUUUGGGGUCUGUUAGUCACACCGUGGUAGGGUUGUGACGAUGAAAAGUCGUAGUGCAAUGUCAGCGAGAGGCUGUUGUAUAUUUGGUGGAUUGAGUCAAUGGACUCCAGAGGACGGUGGAGUAGUUGGAUAACCCUUGUGGCCUUCAGGAAAGUAUAGUCCAUCUGUUGUGGAUGAAGAAAUAUUUGUGCGUCGAGAAUCUAUGAUUUGGAGUCAGGGAAAUCUUCCAUGGAAGGAUUUGUGUAUCGAUGACAGGAUACAGAGUUGUUGUUGGAAUUAACGACAAGUGAGCUUCAAGAUAAGUCGUGGGGGCUAUAGCAGGGUGCCUGCUCGGUGAAAAGUACGUAGAAAGAUUUUCUGCAUGCUAUGUUGUGAUUAGUGCACAGUGUGAGGUAUUAGAGACAAGGCCGGUUAUAAUAUGUGGAGACUUCGAUAGAAGGAUUGUUGGAGUUGUAUACUCUCCUAGUUCACAAAUUUCUGAUGAAGUGUUGGAUUGAAUCUUGUGGUUGAAGUUAGGUGGUAUCUCGUGCAGAAGGGGCGCAAAUGAAUUAGUGAAGAUGGGGGAUGAGCGACUGAUGUAUGGUUCGGGUGGUCAAUCGAGUGUUAAGCGACACCUGGAAGAGAGUUGCAGUCGUCAUCCUAGAAUUCAGAAAGGUCUAAUGACUGGCCUUUUUAUUUGAGAGGACUGGUUAUGAUAACUUUCACCGGCAAGGCCGUGUGUAUUGUUGGUUAUAGUAAAUUGACUUCAGUAGGAAGAUUGUAUACUUGGGAACGAGGUGAACUCCAAACAGUACUUGCAAGAGUGUGAUAGAGACUUGGAUUUGAUGACCCUAGCAUACAAGUAUGAAGAGAAUGUAUCAUCUAUUGUGGAAUAGAUGGUUGGAUAGUGCUAUUGGGGCUUGAGAUAAAGAUGGAAAUGGUGAACCUACUCUUUAAAGCAUUCGGAUGAUAUUCCGAGAAAUUGAGUAAUGGUAAAGGCGUCGUUGUUGUGGUGUGAUUAGACUAUCACCUAGUUUUGGCGAGUCGGUCGAGCUGUACCUCAAAUAAGUUGAGAGAAUUUGUGUUUACAUAUUAGAGGCCUAGGCUGAGUUGCCUAGCGGGUGAUAUCUAAUGAAAGAUGCGAUAGUAUAGGACACUUGAGUUUAGUUGUCCGUAGAGUGUGGAUUGUGGCUCAGCCAAGAGAGUGUGUUGGCAGUAGCACGUGAGCGUUGCUAGGUGUGAAGCGUGCCAUGGAUCACUCGCGGGGCUAGUAGCUCGCACUAAGUACUUAGGAGCCGAUAGUAAUGUGGAUUGCUCGAUAGGACAUGUCGUGUGUGACGACCGUUGAGGAUGUAGCUUGAGGACGAUCCGUGCCUGGAUAAUGUGUGGACCUUAGAGCCUAAGGCCAUUCGAAUAGGCGCAGUCGGCUGUGUGUGACAGUGGCCCGAUACCUAUAGGUAGGGCAGAGAUUCUGAUCGGGGCGGUAGUCCGAGCUUAGAUCAGUGAUGUGGUGUGCCACAUAUUGGAUCGUGGGAUGAGUGAUACAUCGAGAGUGUGAAUUUGAUCCAACCUCAAGAUUGUAGGGGUUUGGAAUUUGGAUUGCUCCUAGUUGGAGUAGGUAUUUGAGACUUUACCUCAUGAUGAUUGGGUCUGCGCUUGCGAGCGAGAGACGCUGUGUGAUAUAGCGAUUGAGCUAGGCGAUAGACCUAUGUCGGAUUGGUGGCUUGUAAAUCAAUUUAUGAUAAUUGGGACAAGCGUUUAACCACUUGCUCUAGAAAUGCAAGAGUCGGUGUAGUAUUGUGAAUAGGGGGAUAGUGGCCCUAGGAGUGGGGGCUCGGUCCUACUGUUUGCCUGUUUUGAAUCGCCGAGUUAUGCGCUGUUGAGGAGUUAAGAUUAGAGGCACGAACGAAAGUGUUCAUGGAGACUCGUUGCGAGAGAUUGGUAUAAUGCAAACGUGGCUGGAAAAGUAAAAGAUUUUCUUUGAGAUUAUUGUGUAGUGGAAGCCACGUGAGAUCUUGGAGAAUUAUGCCUUCAAAUCAUUAGAGUGUGGAGAUGUUAGAAUGAGCCCUUUGUCGAGGAGUGGAAAUUUGUGGGUGAUGGAACACUCACAAUUGAGUGGUGUACUGUGAUAUCGCAGGUAGCGAUGCCAGGUGAGAAAUGAAAUAGAUUCCAUCGGAGAGUAAUGGGUAUAGUAGAUGUUACCUAAUAAGUUUGUAUAUGAAUCAAGGUAGUCUACGGACUUUUUGAGUAAGCGCCAUGCAGGAAUGAUCCCCACUGUAAGAAAAAAAAAAAAAAACAGAUAGUACUAUUCUUAGAAGUAAAGUGAUGUUUAUUGGUAUGAAUUGGUUAUCAUCUAUUGAUGAUAAGAAUGAUAACACGAGCAUGUUAAGUUGAUGGUGCGGAUAGUUGUUGAUUGUAUGAAAAGAAUGCUAAUUCUAAAGCAUGUCAUUAAGUGAGAAUUAAAUUGGCAUAAUAACCAAGGCAAAUAAGUCUUUGAUAGUAAAUGAGACUAGAGUAUAGUAAGUCAUUGAAUGUUGACUUGUAUUGCCAUUGGAAGUUAGAGAACAUAUAAUAAUCAGCAGGAAGAAUAGGGCAUAUUCUGGAUGUGCUCGAUUGAUUAUUAGGAUGAUUGGCACAAGUGGUUACCAAAAAUUGUGAGAUUAUGGUGCCCAACCUAAGGAAUUAGAGUAACCCCUAUUUACUAGGGGAUGGUGAACAUAAGAAAAUUGCUCUGGGAUGUGAAGUAUACAAGAAAAUGCACAAUGAAUUUCAAAUUGAUUGAACAGAACUCCUCAUUUGUUCCAAGGGAGAACUAUAGAAUUACUAGAGAAAAUAACUUGGAAAUAGUGUCAAUUGUGCAUUUUGGAUUUGUGUGAAUGAGGAAAGUGCAGAAUAGUAUAAUUCUGUAUAUUGGUGAGUGUUGGACCCUAUCUUCAUAUGUUUAACUGGAUGAAUGAAGAUAUGUAAGUGUAUCUAAGUUUCGCGGACGAAACUUUUGUUAACGGGGGGAGAUUGUAAUAUAUGGAAAAUUUGAGUUGCGAUGCUAACUUUCUUCUGGAAGAUCAAAGUGAAGUUUGAAUUGGAUGUGUAUCAUUCCAGAGUGUUUUGGGAUGUGUGGGAAUGAUCUCUAAAUGUAAUUGAGUAUUCGGGCACAAAUCGGGCACGAAAUAAACUUGAAAGGGGAUUUUUGGAUUAUGACGCUAACUUCGACCUACGCGAUCAAAGUGAGAUAUGAAUGUUAAUUAUAGUAACUCCGAAUUAUUUUGGAAGUGCGAGGAUAGUUAAUGGCAAAUUCGGAGAUGCUUAGAUGUAAUAUGUCGGAUUUUGGUUAUGUUGCUAAGCUUGAUCAAAUGGAUCAAAAUAAUGCCAAAAUAAAAUUGGGUUGUUUCCGAGCUUAAUUGGUAGCUUCGGCAUCGUAUUUAGUAUGUUUUGGAAGUGUUGGGAUGGACUCGGAGUGAAUUAGAUGCGCAAAAGGAGCUGAAAAUCUGCUGCUGCCAGCUGCUGUUAGUGCAGGGACUGAACUGUAAAGCUGCAAGGACUGUUGGACUGUUUUGUAAACAGAAUUACUGUUUUGUAAAGGAGAUAAUUACAGCUUUGUAGUGGGGUUUAGUUGCAGUUUUUUUUUGGUCUUAUCUACAGCCAGCUCAGCCCCAAUUGCUACGUGUUGAGAAAUCUCCUCUCCUCUCAUCUUCUUUUCGUUUCUUUCUCUCUCUCUCUAAACUCUAAGGUUGGCCGGUUGAUGGUUGAAGAAAGAAGGAUUUUGGAGCAGGGAAAAGCUUGGUAGAGCUGAAUUUCAAGGUAACUUUGAUCAAAUCCUGGUUAGAGUUGAGUUAUUUACCUUCACAGGAAGUUAGUUGGAGUUUCAUGAUAAUUAAAGUGUAUAGAAAGCUUAAGAAAGCUGUAUCAUGGACAGCACAUAGGUAUUUCCUGGAUUAGAAGUGAAAUUGAAUGAGAAACCAUGCAAUUCCUGGUUUGAGGGUUAUGUAUUUACAUUCUAAAGAGAUCUAAGCCGCAGAUUUAAGUAUUAGAGCUCUUAAUACCAUGAGAAGGCUUAAGGGAAAUUUCAGGGCAGCUUGUAUGUGGAGUUAUGUUUGUGAAUUGUAUGUUAAAGAAAGAAAUCUGCUGUGAAUGAACCUUAAUUAUUGAACAAGAGUGAUGUUAAUCACUGCAUAAAGAGGUUAAAUCAUGGAUAAUUUAGCAUAUAGGGAUUUAAUUAUGCUGAAAACUGCAUAUAUGUAUAUAUGGAUAUAUAUAUAUAUAUAUAUAUAUAUAUAUAUAUAUACACAUAGAAGGAAUGGUUAGAGUAAAAUCUAAAAUAGAUUACCUCUAAACCUAGUUAUAGAUGAUUCCCUGCUGUGUAAAGAAGUUAAGUAAAGGGUUCCUAUGAGCUGAAUUAGAGAACUAACUAGAUGUAUAUGUAUAUUGAUACUAUGCAUACAAAUUGAGUUAGUUAGCCUGGAGAAGAGUUAGAUAAAGAGUUCUUGGCUGCUAGGACUUGAAACUUGGUGAGUUGGUGGGCAGAUUAGUGUGUUUGGUCUUGUUGGAGCUGCCGAAAUGGGAAGCUCAACCUGGGAAGCUUCGAACCUGAGGUAAUUAGUUACUUCUCAGCUGUGGUGUAAUUUAAUUGCUCAUUGAGAGAGAUUCUUAGGUGAAUUAAGUCGUAGAAGCUUAAUAAACCCUGUUGGGAGCAGAUAUGUAUAUAUGAUGGUACUUAUUAAUGAUUGUUGGCAGAAGAGGAAUUGUGAGCUGCUGCCUUGAUGCAAGUUCUGGGCGCCCGAAAUUGAAAAGGAAUUGAGGAGUUGGCAGCUUGCUGCCUGAUUGUGAUGGGAGGAGCAUCCGAAUUGAGGGGCCAGUAGUUGAAUCAUUGAAAUCUGAGGUAAAAGAAAACUUAAUUACUGCUGGAAUUAAUACUUGAAGUUAUACAAGAACUACAUAGAUGUAUGUAUGUAUGUACAUGUAGGUGUAUAUGUGCAGAAUGGUAAGGAGUGAAACCUGGAAUAAGUCAAUCUUAAUUCCUGAAUUGGUAUAAUGUUAAUUGCUGUAAGGAAAUGUUAAGUGAGGAACCUUGGAAGUAUUGAAGCUUCUAAGCAUCAUGAGCUUAUAGAAUCAGCUCUAUGUUAUAUACACAUGUGUGUAUAUGUAUAACUUAGAACUAAUUGUUGGAAGACAAAGUAUGAAGUAAAGUUAUUCUAAACCUGUUAAGUGUAGAGCUACUAAGAAAAUUGAUAGUAAGACUAUGUAUAUGUUGAUAUUAUAUACAUAUAA